UACGAAGGGGGCUAGCGUUGUUCGGAAUUACUGGGCGUAAAGCGCGCGCAGGCGGUCUUCCAAGUCAGUGGUGAAAGCCUGGAGCUCAACUCCAGAACUGCCAUUGAAACUGUUAGACUUGAGUACGAGAGAGGUGAGUGGAAUUCCCAGUGUAGAGGUGAAAUUCGUAGAUAUUGGGAAGAACACCAGUGGCGAAGGCGGCUCACUGGCUCGUAACUGACGCUCAGGCGCGAC
rnacentral:rRNA from 1 species